rnacentral:misc_RNA from 1 species
GGAGGGAUCAUUAACAUUCAUUCAAACCUGUUGCUGCCGCCUUAAAACAGCGGUGGCAACUUGUACUACACCUGUGAUUUUGUCGGUUUGUAUCAGUGAACAGCAAUGUUCAUUGGUCUGAACCCAACCCCAGAUUUAUUUAAACGCUUAUAAAAGUCUGAUCUAUUGCGUUAAGAGAAAUCUUGAUGUUUUAAAAAAUACAACCGUUAACAAUGGAUCUCUCGGCUCUCGUAUCGAUGAAGAGCACAGCAAACUGUGAUAACUGAUGUGAAUUGCAGAUUACGUGAAUCAUCGAGAUCUUGAACGCAUUCUGCGCAUGGGAGUCCAUCUCCCAUGCAUAUUUGUUCGAGUGUCAGCUUCAAACUCACAAUUUAACCGUUGUGGAUAGUGAGGGUUAAUUGCUUGCAACUUCCCUUUAAAUUUAGCUGACGAGGGGUUCAUUGAUGUCGCCCAACUCUCUAGUAAUAUUUGAGGUCUAAGAGUGAACUGACUGGAAACCGCUAUAGCAAUAUGGAGGUAACUGGAUGGAGCGCUUGAAGACAGCGUUGAACUGGAGAUUGGGCUUGAUGUCUGUCCCUGAGUCGUGUUGAUCAAAUGUUCUUAAUCUUGGAUGGGGGGAAAAGUCUUGUCUUUAGUGAUGGGAUGAUUCCACCUGUUGGAAAGGGAACAAGUUUAUCUAUAUUGACCUCGAAUAAGUAAGGCUACCCGCUGAACUUAAGCAUAUCAAUAAGCGGAGGAAAAGAAACCAACUGGGAUUCCCGUAGUAAGGGCGACUGAAGUGGGAAAAGCUCAUCCUGAAUCGGAGGGACUUGCGCCUGACCGAGAUGUGGGGUUGAGGACAACUUAUAGGGGAAGAUCGACUUUGAGUGCUCUGGAAAGUGACGCCAUAGAGGGUGACAGCCCCGUUAAGGUCGAUUUGAACUGCUUUGUUGAUCCGAAGAGUCGGGUUGUUUGGGAGUACAGCCCUAAGUGGGAGGUGAAUUCCUUCUAAAGCUAAAUAUUGACGAGAGACCGAUAGCGAACAAGUACCGUGAGGGAAAGGUGAAAAGAACUUUGAAAAGAGAGUUAAAAGUACGUGAAAUUGUUAACGGGGAAGCGAUCAAAGGACCUUGUAUGGCACUAGGCAUUCAACCAUUCGGCGGUGCACGGGCUGUAGACAGAACCUGGUUUACUAGGGCUUCUGCGGUUUGAUGUGCUGUUGGGUGGCGCAUUUUGUCUGGUGUCCAGCCACAUGAGUUCGCUCUCUGGGAAAUACCCCGAAGGAAGGUAGUGGGCUACGGUCCGCGUUAUAGCCUUUGGGUGGGUACCAGAGGGUGGACUCGGGGGCCUUAAGGGCCAUUUCGGGGGCUUGCGGGAGACGUGCUCGUAGCGGUGGGGGUCAGUCUGGACAGUUUACUGUGCGGGCGAGCUCUAGCUGUUGCUGGGUACUAUCACCUCCCCGAAUAUGAUGUGGUUAAAGGGACUUUGAUCGUCCCGUCUUGAAACACGGACCAAGGAGUGCAACAUAUGUGCGAGUGAUUGGGUGUUAAACCUAAACGCGUAGUGAAAGCAAUAGGUAGGAUGUUUGUCCCACAUGGGGCUUACUGCACUAUCGGCCGACCUUGAAGUUUACGGAUAGGAUUGAGCUGGAGCACAUCUGUUGCGACCCGAAAGGUAGCGAACUAUGCUUGCAUAGGGUGAAGUCAGAAGAAAUUCUGAUGGAGGCUCGUAGCGAUACUGACGUGCAAAUCGUUCGUCAAAUGUGAGUAUAGCGGCGAAAGACUAAUCGAGCUGCCUAGUAGCUGGUUUCCUC